rnacentral:rRNA from 1 species
UACGGAGGGUGCAAGCGUUAAUCGGAAUUACUGGGCGUAAAGCGCACGUAGGUGGUUUGCUAAGUCAGCUGUGAAAUCCCCGGGCUCAACCUGGGCACUGCAGUUGAAACUGGCAAGCUAGAGUAGGGUAGAGGGGUGUGGAAUUCCAGGUGUAGCGGUGAAAUGCGUAGAUAUCUGGAGGAACACCGGUGGCGAAGGCGGCAUCCUGGACCGGUAUUGACGCUGAGGCGCGAAAGCCAGGGGAGCAAACGGG